GCUGGAAUGGCUCAGUUGGUAGAGCAGCUGAUUCGUAAUCAGCAGGUCGUCGGUUCGAGUCCGAUUUCCAGCU
rfam:Roseburia sp. CAG:182 genomic scaffold, scf179